AGAUGUAAAAAAUAUAUAGACAAAACGUUUUACAUCUAGCCACAAUAUCCCCAGAUGCAAAGCUAAACGCGGUGGCAAUCCUGUAAUUAUGGUAAAAAUUGUCUAAAAUAAUUUCACAUAUGACCAUAAUAUCCCCGGAUGUAAAAAGACUUCAAGUGAUUAAUAAUUGAUCUCCUUCAUCUCUCACUGCUCACUCGAACCCUAGCGACCGGCCUCAUCUCUCACGAUCGAUCUCAUCUUCUCUCUCAGAUCUCACUCGAACUCGGCGGCCUCAUCUCUCUCACGAUCGAUCUCGUCUUCUCUCUCACUGAUCUCACGUACUCGCUCAUCUAUGUCGUCUCUCUGUCUCACUGAAACAUGAAUUGAAGGCUGAAACGGAAAUUCCAAAACCCAGUUAAACACAAAUUGAAGGCUGAAACACAUCUCUGUCAUCUCUAGCUGAAACCCAGAGAAAAGGUUUAAUUGGUAGUGCAUUUGCAUGGAAGGGUUGAUUUGGUUAGGUCAAGAUGUUCACUGAAGGACUUGACAAAAACCCAUUUAGAUGGGUCAGACACUACAAGAAAAAUUGAAGGCAGCGACAGUCCAUUUGAGGCACUAGGAAGUCAACCGUCGCCGCUCAGCUCAACAACGACGUUUAUUGCGGCAUUCAUUCAACCGCCGUUGGUGUGUGUCAAUCUCGGCAGUUCUAGUGGUAAAGCGGCGGCAGUCUAAUUGGGUACAGCGGCGGCUAGAUUAGGAAUGAGAAAUGAAAAUUUCACUCCCCUCUCUCUUAUUCUCUGGCACGAAAAUUUCACAUCGCACGACCCCUUGUUUUCAAUUUCAUGCUGAAACUGAUAGGGAAGCUGGAGACAAUAAGGGUGUCUCGGACAGCCAGAUUCGUUUGAAGAUUUUUUCACCAAAUGUUCUGGACAUGACACUUGUAGAUCUCCCAGGCAUUACAAAGGUUCCUGUUGGUGACCAGCCUUCUGAUAUUGAGACCCGGAUCAGAACAAUGAUCAUGUCAUAUAUAAAAGAGCCGUCCUGUCUUAUUCUAGCUGUCACACCGGCAAAUUCAGAUUUGGGUAAUUCAGAUGCUCUUCAGAUGGCUGGGGUGGCUGAUCCUGAGGGUAUGCUUUUGCUUCCAUAUUCCAAAAGCAUUGAAUUUUUUUUCUAUAUUUCUUUAAUUGGUUUUAAAUUGUCAUAUAUAUGAUGCAAGUACUAGAACGAUCGUUGUAAUUACAAAGGUUCAGUAUACUAUUCUCAUUUAACAUUAUAUUAUGCGUAUCUUUGUGGAUUUUGUUAAAUGCUGUCGAGUAAGUCAUUCUGACAGUGUUAGGCACAUAUUUUUGUUAUGUAGUUGGAUAUCAUGGACAGAGGUAUUAUUCUUCACUCAUUACUGUUUUUCAUGUUUUUAUCAUAAUGGAUUUCUUUUAAUUAUCCUUAUUACUUGAAAAGUUGCGAUUUUUGUUGCUGAUGUUGUUUUGUUAUUGUUUUUGUUGUGUUGUUUGUUGUUAGAAUGUGAUGAUUUCUGGGUGAUAGGUCUUUCAAAGGCCAGAUUAUAGGUCUCAUUUACGCAACUCAGUACCUACGAGUCCCUCUUAUACUUUUUAACUCCGUCUUCAUUAUUGUAAAGUUCGUUUCUGGGUGAUGUCUAGCAAGGUGUUCGAUGAUCCCACGUCAUUAACCGAGGAGCUGUAUAAAUUGCGAAACAGCUGGGCUACUUGUUUUCUUGACCUGUACAAUCCCGAGGUAGAUUAUGAUGUUGCCGAUGAUGAGGCUUAGGAGCUAGCUAGUUACAAUGGAUUCACAUUAAUUAGGAUGUUUUGAAUUGUAAUGACUUGUAUUUUGCUUGAAUGUUAUAACAUUUUGGAUUGUUGGUAUUUUGCUUGAAUUGUAAGACUUGGUAUUUUAUUUGAAUUGUAAUGACUUGGUUGAA